UUAAUUCCUCAAAAAAAAAAAAAAAGAAAAUUGUUUGACCGGCCGGGCGCAGUGGCUCACGCCUGUAAUCCCAGCACUUUGGGAGGCCGAGGCGGGCGGAUCACGAGGUCAGGAGAUCGAGACCAUCCUGGCUAACACGGUGAAACCCUGUCUCUACUGAAAAUACAAAAAAUUAGCCGGGCAUGGUGGCAGGCGCCUGUAGUCCCAGCCACUCGGGAGGCUGAGGCAGGAGAAUGGCGUGAACCCAGGAGGCGGAGCUNNNNNNNNNNACAGGUGUACAACAUCACAUCUGGCUAAUUUUUGUAUUUUUAGUAGAGACAGGGUUUCCCCAUAUUGGCCAGGGUAGUCCUGAACUCAUGACCUCAAAUGAUUCACCUGUCUUGCUAUUUCUUCCAUUCACCCAGCUACAAAUUGCGCUGAUUUACAAUGUUGUAUGUUAUUUGUGGCACUUGUAUUGGUUUUAAUUUCAUAGUCCUCUCAAGAUAGGAACUUGCCAUCAGAUGAGCCAGGUGAACUAGCCAAACAGGGUUUUCUUGUUGAUCUUUUCAAAAAACCAGCCCUGGAUUCAUUGAUUUUUUGAAGGGUUUUUUGUGUCUCUAUCUCCUUUAGUUCUGCUCUGAUCUUAGUUACUUCUUGUCUUCUGCUAGCUUUUGAAUUUGUUUGCUUUGCUUCUCUAGUUAUUUUAAUUGUGAUGUUAGGGUGUCAAUUUUAGAUCUUUUCUGCUUUCUCUUGUGGGCAUUUAGUGCUAUAAUUUUCCCUCUACACAUUGCUUUAAAUGUGUCCCAGAGAUUCUGGUAUGUUGUGUCUUUGUUCUCAUUGGUUUCAAAGAACAUCUUUAUUUCUGCCUUCAUUUUGUUAUUUUCCCAGUAGUCAUUCAGGAGCAGGUUGUUGAGUUUCCAUGUAGUUCUGUGGUUUUGAGUGAGUUUCUUAAUCCUGGACUCUUAUUUGAUUGCACUGUGGUCUGACAGUUUGUUGUGAUUUCCAUUCUUUUACAUUUGCUGACGAGUGCUUUACCUCCAACUAUGUGGUCAAUUUUGGAAUAAGUGUGAUGUGGUGCUGAGAAGAAUGUAUAUUCUGUUGAUUUGGGGUGGAGAGUUCUGUAGAUGUCUUUUAGGUCUGCUUGGUGCAGAGCUGAGUUCAAGUCCUGGAUAUCCUUGUUAAGCUUCUGUCUCAUUGAUCUGUCUAAUAUUGACAGUGGGGUGUUAAAGUCUCCCAUUAUGAUUGUGUGGAGUCUAAAUCUCUUUGUAGGUCUCUCAGGACUUGCUUUAUGAAUCUGGGUGCUCCUGUAUAGGGUGCAUAUAUAUUUAGGAUAGUUAACUCUUCUUGUUGAAUUGAUCCCUUUACCAUUAUGUAGUGGCCUUCUUU
rnacentral:lncRNA from 1 species